AUGUGCGGUUUGUUCUCCGAUGGAAAAACGCAAUCCGCGCCCAGAAUGGCUGUCAAUAGCUCGGCGGGUGCAGUGCAGCCGUGCAGCCCCGCCCUGGAAAGCGGUGGCCGCGGACGGAGGGGCCCCGCGUCUCGGCCGCGCCGCCCGAACCCCUCCCGGUUUGCUUUAGGUCCCCUGGGGUCCCUGAGACACCAGCCGGGAAGGCGACGCGCUCGGAGCGCCCCGCGCACGCCGGAAGCGGCCACCACCGCGGAUCCGAGCCGCUCUCGGGCAAGGAGGAAGGCGCCCCGGGCAGGCAGCAACUCACCGGCCACCCCGACGAUCCCAGCCGCGGCCCCAGAGCGGGACCCGCCGCCGCCGCCGCCGCCAGGGAAGGUGCGAGCCCGACUGUGCGCGCGGCGACCGGCCGCGGAGCUGAACCUGCGAAGGGCGGGGCGCUCGGGGCGGGGCCGGCGGCGCGGGGGGCGGGCCGGGGCGGGCCGGGCCGGAGGGCGCGCGCGGCCGCGGUACCUGCGCGGGGGCCGGGCGGGGCGCGCGGGGGUCGGUCGCCGCACGCCCGCGCGCCCCCGAGUACAAGGGGCGCCCAUUGUUACCGCGCUGGCGCCGCCCGCAGGGGGGCCGCUUGGGCCCGAGCAGCGGCGCCCCGCUCCCUUGGCACAAAGGGAGGUCGCGGGACGCUUGCUGCAAAGAGCGCCCCCGGGGUGCUGGCUCCCCGGUGCCCGAGGACAAAGGGGCCCCGCCCGCGCCCGGACACCUGCACUACACCUCGCGCCCACCCCUCCCGGUCCGCACGGGCCAGUCGGGCGCGGCGGGCGGGGGACCCUGGAGGAGGCGCGGCCACCCGACCGCGCGGACCCUGCCCAGCCCCGGGGCCCCCGGCCACCCGGGCCCCCGGCUCCAGGGGCAGGUCGUGUUUUGUCGGUUUCUCGCUCGCUCCCUUUGGAGCUGCUGCCAAAACCCGGAGAGCGGAUUGGGCGUCCCGGCGACGCCCGGGGCUGCCCGCUGAGCCAGGGGGCCCGCGAACCGCCGACGCCGCAGGUUUUUCCAGCCCGGGGGAGGGGCUUCCUCUCCCGCGGGGUCCCCAAAGAGACCGGCCUGAAGCCGGGGCCGGCGGGUGGCGGCUGUCCCCGACGCGCGGCGCAAGUGGCGCAGCUGCCGGCCCGGGAGCCUAGAAUUGGGCCCCGGGAGGCACCUGCGCCCGCCGGUCAUCCCGGCGCCCGCCGCGGCGCGCCCCGCCCCUCCGCCCGCAGGCUCGCCCUGGACCCGGUUAAUUAA
rnacentral:lncRNA from 1 species